AAAUCACAAUAGGAUACUCUCCUCGUUAUUUGGACUUGUAUGAGGUACGAAUAAGGAGUGAAGUUUUCUUGAUAUUCUGGUUGAAAAGAAAGAUUUUUGCUGUAGUUUAUUUCAAGAAAUGCAUAAAAAAUAUUUAAUUGUUUUUCGUAGUUGAUGGAGUUGACUGUCUCGGAAUUAAUCGUUCUUUUUUGUUUUUGUUUUUUAACACUAAAAGCAAUCAUGGUUUGAAUGCCAUUGGAAACGAGAAAGGAAUGCUGAAAAUUUUAGUUAUCAUUGUCGGUAAUUUUUCUCUGAUCUAUACUUCUAGGUUUGAAUUUGAAACAGAAGUAAUCGAUAUCCUAAG